UACGUAGGCAGCGAGCGUUGUUCGGAAUUACUGGGCGUAAAGAGUGUGUAGGCGGUGCUCCCAGUCUGUUGUGAAAUCUCCCGGCUUAACUGGGAGGGUGCAGCGGAAACUAGAGUGCUAGAGGGUGGGAGAGGUAAGCGGAAUUCCUGGUGUAGCGGUGAAAUGCGUAGAUAUCAGGAGGAACACCUGUGGUGUAGACAGCUUACUGAACCACUUCUGACGCUGAGACACGAAAGCGUGGGUAGCAAACAGG
rnacentral:rRNA from 1 species